rnacentral:tRNA from 1 species
UCCCAGGUGACUCAGAUGGUAAAGUAUCUGCCUGUGAUGCGGGAGAUCCAGGCUUGAUCCCUGGGUUGGGAA